CUAAGAAUAUUCCGCAAUGGACGAAAGUCUGACGGAGCGACGCCGCGUGGAUGAAGAAGGCCGCAAGGUUGUAAAAUCCUUUUGCUGGGGAAGAAUAAGUCCAGGAGGGAAUGCCUGGAUGAUGACAUGAACCGGCGAAUAAGCCCCGGCCAACUACGUGCCAGCAGCCGCGGUAACACGUAGGGGGCAAGCGUUGUUCGGAAUUACUGGGCGUAAAGGGCAUGUAGGCGGUUUAGUAAGCUUGGCGUGAAAGACCACAGCUCAACUGUGGGGUUGCGUUGAGAACUGCUGAACUUGAGUUACGGAGAGGGAGCUAGAAUUCCUGGUGUAGGGGUGGAAUCUGUAGAGAUCAGGAAGAAUACCGAUGGCGAAGGCAAGCUUCUGGCCGAUAACUGACGCUGAGGUGCGAAAGUGUGGGGAUCAAACAGG
rnacentral:rRNA from 1 species